GACGAACGCUGGCGGCGUGCUUAACACAUGCAAGUCGAACGGAAAGGCCCUGCUUUUGUGGGGUGCUCGAGUGGCGAACGGGUGAGUAACACGUGAGUAACCUGCCCUUGACUUUGGGAUAACUUCAGGAAACUGGGGCUAAUACCGGAUAGGAGCUCCUGCUGCAUGGUGGGGGUUGGAAAGUUUCGGCGGUUGGGGAUGGACUCGCGGCCUAUCAGCUUGUUGGUGGGGUAGUGGAUUACCAAGGCUUUGAGGGGUAGCCGGCCUGAGAGGGUGACCGGCCACAUUAGGACUGAGAUGAGGCCCAGACUCCUACGGGAGGCAGCAGUGGGGAAUAGUGCACAAUGGGCGGAAGCCAGAUGCGGCAACGCCGCGUGCGGGAUGACGGCCUUCGGGUUGUAAACCGCUUUCGCCUGUGACGAAGCGUGAGUGACGGUAAUGGGUAAAGAAGCACCGGCUAACUACGUG
rnacentral:rRNA from 1 species